rnacentral:rRNA from 1 species
UACGUAGGGGUCGAGCGUGUCCGGAGUUACUGGGCGUAAAGCGCGCGCAGGCGGCUCUUUAAGUCUGACGGUGAAAUGCCGGGGCUCAACCCCGAGCGUGCCGGGAGAUACUGGAGGGCUGGAGACGAGUAGAGGCAAGCGGAAUUCCGGGUGUAGCGGUGGAAUGCGUAGAGAUCCGGAAGAACACCGGAGGCGAAGGCGGCUUGCUGGGCUCGGUCUGACGCUGAGGCGGCGAAAGCGUGGGAGCGAACAGG